rnacentral:rRNA from 1 species
CCUACGGGUGGCAGCAGUGGGGAAUAUUGGACAAUGGGGGCAACCCUGAUCCAGCCAUGCCGCGUGUGUGAAGAAGGCCCUCGGGUUGUAAAGCACUUUCAGCGAGGAAGAACGCCUGGUGGUUAAUACCCAUCAGGAAAGACAUCACUCACAGAAGAAGCACCGGCUAACUCCGUGCCAGCAGCCGCGGUAAUACGGAGGGUGCGAGCGUUAAUCGGAAUUACUGGGCGUAAAGCGCGCGUAGGUGGCUUGAUAAGCCGGUUGUGAAAGCCCCGGGCUCAACCUGGGAACGGCAUCCGGAACUGUCAAGCUAGAGUGCAGGAGAGGAAGGUAGAAUUCCCGGUGUAGCGGUGAAAUGCGUAGAGAUCGGGAGGAAUACCAGUGGCGAAGGCGGCCUUCUGGACUGACACUGACACUGAGGUGCGAAAGCGUGGGUAGCAAACAGGAUUAGAUACCCUAGUAGUC